CCUACGGGUGGCAGCAGUCGAGAAUCAUUCACAAUGGGGGAAACCCUGAUGGUGCGACGCCGCGUGGGGGAAUGAAGGUCUUCGGAUUGUAAACCCCUGUCACGUGGGAGCAAAUUAAAAAGAUAGUACUACAAGAGGAAGAGACGGCUAACUCUGGGCCAGCAGCCGCGGUAAUACAGAGGGCUCAAGCGUUGUUCGGCAUCACUGGGCGUAAAGCGUGCGUAGGCUGUUGCGUAAGUCAGGUGUGAAAGGCGCGGGCUCAACCCGCGGACGGCACAUGAUAUUGCGAGACUAGAGUAAGGGAGGGGGAACCGGAAUUCUCGGUGUAGCAGUGAAAUGCGUAGAUAUCGGGAGGAACACUCGUGGCGAAGGCGGGUUCCUGGACAUUAACUGACGCUGAGGCACGAAGGCCAGGGGAGCGAAAGGGAUUAGAUACCCUGGUAGUC
rnacentral:rRNA from 1 species